GAUGAACGCUGGCGGCGUGCCUAAUACAUGCAAGUCGAGCGAACAGACGAGGAGCUUGCUCCUCUGACGUUAGCGGCGGACGGGUGAGUAACACGUGGAUAACCUACCUAUAAGACUGGGAUAACUUCGGGAAACCGGAGCUAAUACCGGAUAAUAUAUUGAACCGCAUGGUUCAAUAGUGAAAGACGGUUUUGCUGUCACUUAUAGAUGGAUCCGCGCCGCAUUAGCUAGUUGGUAAGGUAACGGCUUACCAAGGCAACGAUGCGUAGCCGACCUGAGAGGGUGAUCGGCCACACUGGAACUGAGACACGGUCCAGACUCCUACGGGAGGCAGCAGUAGGGAAUCUUCCGCAAUGGGCGAAAGCCUGACGGAGCAACGCCGCGUGAGUGAGGAAGGUCUGCGGAUCGUAAAACUCUGUUAUUAGGGAAGAACAAAUGUGUAAGUAACUAUGCACGUCUUGACGGUACCUAAUCAGAAGGCCACGGCUAACUACGU
rnacentral:rRNA from 1 species